rnacentral:rRNA from 1 species
GAUGAACGCUGGCGGCGUGCCUAAUACAUGCAAGUCGAGCGAAUGGAUUAAGAGCUUGCUCUUAUGAAGUUAGCGGCGGACGGGUGAGUAACACGUGGGUAACCUGCCCAUAAGACCGGGAUAACUCCGGGAAACCGGGGCUAAUACCGGAUAACAUUUUGAACCGCAUGGUUCGAAAUUGAAAGGCGGCUUCGGCUGUCACUUAUGGAUGGACCCGCGUCGCAUUAGCUAGUUGGUGAGGUAACGGCUCACCAAGGCAACGAUGCGUAGCCGACCUGAGAGGGUGGUCGGCCACACUGGGACUGAGACACGGCCCAGACUCCUACGGGAGGCAGCAGUAGGGAAUCUUCCGCAAUGGACGAAAGUCUGACGGAGCAACGCCGCGUGAGUGAUGAAGGCUUUCGGGUCGUAAAACUCUGUUGUUAGGGAAGAACAAGUGCUAGUUGAAUAAGCUGGCACCUUGACGGUACCUAACCAGAAAGCCACGGCUAACUACGUGCCAGCCGCCACCGUAA